AGAAGAAAUUCCUACCUUUUGUUGGGUAUUUGAUGUUGAAUACAUAGUACGAGCCCAAAAGGAUAACAAUGCCAUUCACAAGAUUGGGCUGUUGAAGUUUAGCAAUGAUUUCUCCUUCUGCAGCCAAGUAAAGUGGUGUGAUGGAGCCACAUGUUCCAGCUCCAAUCAGCAUUGGGGUGACUGAUGCUCCAAUAAUUUUAUCAAUUGAUUCAUCAUCCUAAAUUAAAGAGAAGAAAUUAGAGAAAAAUAAAGAUGGAGUUUUACAUUUAAUUAGUUGAAGGUUGCUACAAUCUUCUUACAUUUUACCAUGUUUUUGACGCGCUCAAAUUCUGAUUUGAGCUAUAUAAAGUUAAUAAAAGUGGAAACUGUAUAUGAGAAGCAAACAAUACCAGUGAACUGUGUACACAUGAUAUUAAUAAUACUGCACAGAAGUAGUAUACCUCGGUGACCAUCCUUAAAGCUGGAUAGUCCGACAAUAAUAAUUUCAAAGUUGUCGGACUUGUGAGGAUUCGUUCUCGCCUUCUUUGGAACGUGGCCGACAUGGAUUCUUUGAUCCCAGUUGACUCCCACUGGAAUUAUGACGUCACAAGAAACCCAAGAAUACUAAUAUGUAUAAUGUAUACAGUGCAGUGCAGUACAUACCAAGA